rnacentral:rRNA from 1 species
CCCUUAGAUGUUCUGGGCCGCACGCGCGCUACACUGACUACUUCAACGAGUUGUUUCCUUGAUCGAAAGGUCUGGGUAAUCUUUGAAAGGUAGUCGCGAUGGGGAUAGAUCCUUGCAAUUUUUGAUCUUCAACGAGGAAUUCCUAGUAAACGCAAGUCAUCAGCUUGCAUUGAUUACGUCCCUGCCCUUUGUACACACCGCCCGUCGCACCUACCGAUUGAAUGGUCCGGUGAAUCUUUAGGACUGUGGCUGAGGCCUUGCCUUGUGCGGGUCUGGCCGUGGGAAUUUAGUUAAACCUUACCAUUUAGAGGAAGGUGAAGUCGUAACA